UGAUCCCAGCUACAAAGCUCGCCCGCGGGUGAUGAAAGGGUUAGCUGAGCCUCGGCGGAGAAAGAACAGUGAGUUAGUUUUCCUGCCUCUUGUUCUUAAGGAGAAGUGCUGGUUUCGGGAAUCAGGGUGAGGCCUACAUUCUCCAGUGCGUAUUUACGCAGAUCUCUGGUUAGUUAAUCGCAGGUCUGUUAUUUCCCAGAGUUCCAGGCCUCCGGCCCAUGAAUAGAUUACUUCUUACUGGUGUGUGUUUGGUGAAGAGAGUUUGUAGAGUUCUUGCAAUUCUGAGUCGGAUCCCAAUGAGAGGGAGUGUCAUGGCCUCUCUGUGUCCCUCUGGGAGGGACACUGGGUGUGGACUCACCGCUUCAGGUGACCACGCAUCAGCGUGGUACCUAUGGGAAGGGCCUUUACCUGUUGGCCUGGACCUCAAGCCCCUCCUGCCCCUUCCUGUUCACCCCUUGUACCGAGUUGGUAUCUCCAACGCCGACACCUCCCGUUAGGCAGAGACUGGGUUUAAUAAAAUGCCUUCACAGUCACCCAUUUUGGUCACAGCAGAAAGCAAAUGCAGGGGAAGAGUGUCUGACCCAAGCUAACCCUGUUACUGAUGUAGAAAAUCCGCUCUAAGGCAGAAAUAGAAAAUAGGUAAGAAACAACUUGGAUAAUGAUUUCCAAAACUGGAAAGAGCUGUCAGGCACUCUGUCACAUAGCCUGAAAUAACAAAGAUGCCGUGGCCAGCUGGACUCCCCAAGGAGCAGGUGACACACCUGGCAACAGACCUUCCAUAUGGACCAUCGGCCAGUCUGUGGUCAGAGAUGAACAGCCAGUGAUCCUCUAGCCAGGGAUCGAGUGGGGUCAAAGUGGGGGUUUAGGAAACGACGUAUUUUUGGGAAAUAGAAGUUCCUCCCUCCCCUUUCCACCAUCACAUCUGUGGGUGGCGAUGACUUCAGGGCACUAAGACCAUUCACUUACAUAUCCAUCAAUGAAUCGAGUUGAGUCCUUGCCAUUUUGUCUUAAAAGUCUUAAAAGGCAGCGAGCUGGCCGAUGACCAAACCAAUCAGACUGGGUUUCCGUGGCUUCUCAAUCAGCCUUACUGAGGCGUACAGAAGUAUACUAAGCUGCACAGUAAGUUUUGACAUGUGUGGUGAACACGCACACCUGUAAAACACCCCCACGAUCGAGGUGAGAACAGAGCCGUCACCUCAGAACCUUUCCCAGUUCCUCUGAGCCGAGCGUCGCGGCCCUACCUCACCCUGUUCUGGGCACAAUCACCGACCCACUUCCUGGCGCUACAGAGCACCUCGCCGUCUCCGGACUCUCGCUCAACAGGAAUUGGACAGAACGUGCUUUUUUGUCUUGCACGAGGCGUACUCACUCGCAGACUCCCCUGCAGCGGGCCGCAUCAGGGGCACACUCUCUUUCCUUCCUUGGUCGGUAGUGUUCCGUGUGUCGGGUGGGUAAGCGCCCGCGCGCUGCUGGCCUUCGGCUCUUUUCCAGUUGUUACCGACAGAGCGGCUGCGAGCGUGCGUGUGUAAGCUGUCGUGGGCACAUAAGCUCUAAUUUCUCUGGCGGAAAUACCGAGCACGGAACAUCGGACUGUACCGUAGGUAUUUGACUUUUUAAGAAACUGACAAACUUUUUCAAAGCGAAUUACCAUUUUGUGUUUCCACCAGAGUGUCAGGGGGUUUCAGGACAUCUCAGCCGCACUUGCCACGGUUGGUCUUUUUUAUUUUAGCCGUCCUAGCCGGUCUGCUGUGGGAUUCCCUUGUGACGUGAAUUUGCAUUUUUCUAAUAACUAAUUAUGACCAAAUUUUAACGUACUUACUGCCAUCCAAAUAUUUUUGGUGAAAUGUCCAUUUUUAAAAAAAAUUUUAUUUAUUUAUUUGACAGAGAUCACAGGCAGGGAGAAAGGCAGGCACAGAGAGUGGAAGGGAAGCAGGUUCCUUGCUGAGCAAAGAGCCGGAUGCGGGGCUCAAUCCCAGGACCCUGGGAUCAUGACCUGAGCCGAAGGCAGAGAGGCUUUAACCCACUGAGCCACCCAGGUGCCCCGAAAUGUCCAUUUUUAUUUCAUGAUCUUUUGUCUUUUACUUGGGCUCUUUGCUUUUCCAAUUAUUGACUUAUUUUCUGAGUUUUAAGAGUUCUUUAAAUCUUCUGGACACAAGUCCUGGGUCAGGUUGUGAUUUGCAAGUAUUUAUUCCAGACUGUGACUUGGUUUUUCAUUCUAUUAAACAAUCAAGCUCUGCGCGUUCUCUUCUUAAUUUUGAAGUAAAGUUUAUUAUAAUUUUUAUUAUUUUUAAUGAGUCUGCUCUUCAAAUUAUAUUUGCCUAACCCCAGAUCACAAAUAUUUUCUUCCAGAAGUUUUAUAGAUUUAUAUUUUACAUUUAGAACUGUGAUCCACUUUGAAUUCACUCCCACAUAUUUCAUAUUUUACAUCCUAUUAUAAAUGGACUUUUACAGUUUCCAUUUCUGAGAGUUUAAAUAUUUGCUUUUUCAAUAUUUAUCUUUUGUCCCACAACUUUGCUUAAUUAAACUACUAGUUUCAGUGUUUUUUGGUAGAUUCACUAGAAUUUUUCACAUAGACGAUCACGUUGUCUGUAAACAUAGCAAGUCGACUUCCAAUCUGGGCCCUGUUUCCGUCUUUUCUUGUCUUACUGACUGUCUAGCGACCACCGCGGUAUUGACUAGAAAUGGCGGCAGAGGACCCUGAUGCAAACAAUUCAGUCUUUGACCGUUGAGUGUGAUGUUCGCUAUAGCUUUUUAUAGAUGCUUUUCGUCGAGAUGAGGGUCUAUCUGUAAUUUUCUGAGUUUUUUUCAUUAGAAAUAGAUAUUGGGUUUUGGCAAAUGGUUUUUCUGCAUCUGUUGAAACGAACAUAUUUUUUUCUUUUUCCACUCAUUAAUAUGUGAGUCACCUUGAUUGAUUUUCGAAUGUUAAGUGUCAUGGUGUAUUGUUUUGCUAAUAGAGGAGCGUCUAUGAGCGUAUUUUCUUUUCCUGGGCUGUCUUUAUCUGGUUUGACACCCGAGAAGUUCUGGCCCAACAGGACAAGUUAAGUGCUUCCUCCUCCUCCGUUUAAGGGGAAGAGUUUUGUGGAAUUGUGUUAUUUAUUCCUUAAAUGACGGACGAAAUUCAUCCGGAAUGCCAUGCAGACCUGGAACUUUCUUUGUGGGAAGGUACGAAUUCAGCUUCUCUCGCAGACUAACGGGUGUUUGGGUUACCUGUUUCUUCACGAUGGGGUUUGUGCGGACACUUGCAGCUCGCCCAGGUUGUUGACUGCACCGGCAUCAAGUUACUGGUGAUAGUCAGUGUAUUCGUAGAGCUGCCGUGAUGACAUCUCUCUCGUUCUCAGUAAUGAUAAUCCGUGUCUUCUCUCUUUUUGUCUGCAUCAUUCUGGCUAGAGAUUCGACAGGUGUAUUGAUCUCAAAUAACCAGCUUUUGGUUUCAUGUUAUUUCUCUAUUAUUUUUCUGUUUUCUAUUUUAUCAUUAUCCAAUCUCAUUUUUAUAUUUUUUCUUCUGUUUACACCGCAUUUCAUUUUCUUUUCUUUAUCGAGUUUCUUAAGAUAGAAGCUGAGGUCAUCGAUUUGAAACCCUAUCUCUUUUCUAAAACAAAUCUUCUUCAAUUUACAAUGGGGUUUUGCCCCGAUAAACCCAGCAUACACUGGAGAUACCAUAAGUUAAAAAUGCUCGUAAUACACCUAAGCUACUGGCCCUCGUAGCUGUAGCUGAGUCUGGCCCUCCGUCGUCUCUUUGUGAGGACCCCCGGAGGACCUGGGGGCCGGGUCUGCACAGGCCGCUGCUCGGCCGGCUCCUUCUCCGGGGGGGGGGGGGCACAAGGUGGUCUCGCCGCACCCAGCCGUCUCACCUGUCUGUCCCGAGUGACCUUGGCGAUCCCAGGGCGACCUCACUUCCCUCCUGUCCCUCCUCUGUUGUCUGAUUCCCAGUUGUCGCAGGCAGGGCGCACUCAAGUCUCUGACGCUAUCUUGUCCAGGACAGAAGUCCCCAGGCAUAUUUUAAUGAAGGGUUUUUAAAAAAAUCAUGUUUUGCGACCCACUGGUUUAGUGGUCUUUUGUUUUCACAGAUGCUAUUUAUUUAUUUGUUUAUUUAUGGAGCCUGCGAGGGUUGGGGGGGAGGCGGAGAGAGAGGGAGAGAGGCCCCCAGCAGACCGUCCACGGAGCGUGGAGCCCAGCGCAGGACUCGAUCCCACGACCCUGAGACCACAACCCAAGCGGAAAUAGAGUUGGAUGCCCCGGCGGACUCAGCCACCCCUAGUGGCACCCCUGCUGGUUUUGUGAGUGUGGACCGCAUCACCAUGUAAAGUGUACUUAUUACUGUGGACUGUGGUCAGAACGUUUGGAGAACACUCCUUCCCGAGGUGGAUGAAGGUGAGCAGCCCUCAUUAAGGUGAAAGUCCUUUCAUGGAUAAGUCGUCUGGGCUCUUCCUUGAGGGGGACCAACUGGUUCUAGUUUUUCAGAGAUGUUCCCAGUUUUAAAAUCAAAAGUCCUAGGUCCCAGACCCCGUCAGCCCGGGGCAUCCCCAGAUGGUUACUGCCUCCUUGGGGUCCCUUUGCAGCCUGUGACUUACAAGGGGUUUUGUGCCAAGUGUUCCCACAGAAGUUGUUUUGUGGAAUGUCACAGAAACAGCGUGUGUCCAGGUAAGGUUGCCUGUUCCAGCCCGGUCAGCUCCUUCGUCGGAAACAUACAGUGUCGGGCUCGCCUGAGACCCAGGCCUGGUGCUGGUGCGUGUGCAGCAGGCCGGGCCGGGAGGAGGUGCGUGCGGAAGGGAGAGGGACCUUGGGCCCAACAGAUACACUGACCUCCUCCAUGAAGAGAGAUCUUGGACAAGCCCCUUCUCCCCAGAACUGCCACAUUAGCAGCUGGGACAGGGGAGCCUCCUGGAGGCUGAGGACCACGGUGAGGGCGCGGGUGCUGCCAGGCAGACAGGGCUGCUGUGCCCAAGACAGUCGGGUGGGGUCACCUCCGGGACCUGCAGACCCUGGGAGGAAGCAUCGCAGAGCCUGCCUGUCUUGCCUCGGUCACCCCGACGCACUGCCCUCUCUUGUCACGGCCCAGAGCUGCGCAGAGACUGUGCCUCGCAGGGACGUGUGCCGCCUUACACAGACCCGGCACAGGUGUGCUGCAGGUGGGGACGUGCUGUUUGGGUCACUGGCCAGCCUGGCCUGCCCUGACCUCAGGGUUCUGGCUACACCAGCCCCAGCCUCUCGUCAUCCUGCGGGUCACGUUGCCCGUGUGAGCGGCAGGGACGGUGCAGCCGCCAAGGCUGGCAACAUCCUCGUGCCCAGCGGCUCCUCGGGCAGGCCUCGGGCUGCGAUGGCGGCGGAGCCCCCACUCCCAGCCUGGCCCCCUGAGCACGCACCUCCGGCUGGGACCGUCCUUCAGGGCCGGACGGAGCUCGGAAAGGGAAAGUGCGAGGCAGGCGGCGUGCAGUGGCGCCCCUCAUCUAGAAGACGAGCGUUUGGUGUUGGAGGUGCGCGUCAGUGCAUUGUAAUAGGAAAGCUGGUGUUUUUAGAGCUUCUAGAACGAUAAUUUUUUCAGAAGAAUUUCUCCCCGCUGCUGAUAUAAAUAUUUUUGGAGAAGUGCAGAAGUUGGUGUAAUGACCGGAAACGUGGCAUGAUUUUGUGGGGUUUCUGCUGCUCUUUCCGGCAGAGACCGUCCGACAGCAUGACCGUUUAUACAGCUUCCUCGCCCGGCUUCUGCCCUGCCCUACACACUACGCGUGUGCUUCCCGUGUUUUUAUCGUGACAAAGAUACACAUUUGCAAAGCCCCGUCGAAAAUGUUCAUCUUUUUAUACCCAGUUAGCGUCUGCAACAAUUACGUUAGCAAGUAACUUUUUUUUUUUUAAAGAUUUUAUUUAUUUAUUUGAGAGAGACAGUGGGAGCGAGCACGAGAGGUGAGAAGGUCAGAGGGAGAAGCAGACUCCCCACGGAGCUGGGAGCCCGAUGCGGGACUCGAUCCUAGGACUCCGGGACCGUGACCUGAGCCGAAGGCAGUUGCCCAACCAACUGAGCCACCCAGGCGCCCUGUUAGCAAGUAACUUAGCAGAUGCUGGGCUACAGCGUGGCGGCCCCUCAGCCCCGGGAGUGGUUGGGUCCCCAGCAGAGAAGUGACGGCUUCCAUUCGCGCACAUCUCCACAUUCCCCAAGACGGACGGAUCCUGCUGUUGGCCGUGGCUCCGUGGACAGGAGGCAGGAGGAUGUGGGAUUCUCCCCAGCGGACGGAUGAGAGACCGGGGCCCGGGGCCACACACACGCACUUCCCUGUGUCAUUAGCAACCCGGAGCUCCGGGGCACACUGACUUCUUGACCUCCAGCGACCCUGCUCUUUGUGCGGUGACCGGGACAGCUUUCUGCCGUGUGUGUUGUUUUACCUCAUGGUCCCGUGAUGCACGGCCAGACUCCUUCUGCCUCGUCAAAGGCCUGUGUGCCGGUGGGCAGGUGGGACCAGGUCCUGUGUCUGGGGGACCCGCCUCUCCCCAGCUCAGUGUCUCGUGCUGUGAAAGGGGCCAACGGUGCUGUGCUGGGAAUGGCAACAGUGAGUGCAGACGGAGCCCGUGGCGGAGGGCCUGGGUUCCGCACUCACCACGCCACCCGUUCCGGUGACCGUGAGAGCCGUCCCUGUGACCCCUGACCCUGUCACAGCUGAAGGGGACACGGCCAGUGAGUCAGAGUCGGGCAGAGCUGCCCAGCCCUGAGUGGCCAGAGGACAGAGCUGGGGGGCACUGGGGGCCGCACCGCAGAGUCAGCUAACGACGUCCAGGGACUUCGGGCCCCAGUGCCAGGCCCAUCUGUGACCUUUGAGCUGCUCAGUACGUGUGAGGACAGCAGAGGCCGGAGCCCGGGAGCGAACGCCAGCCUCCCCUCCUCCGGGCGCGGCCACUGCCCUCCUGCAGGUUGAUCAAGGCUGUGGAGAUGCGGUCGGGGGUCCUGAGAGAGACGCGCGGCUGCGACUUCCCACACCCGCUCACGCACCUUCUCGUGUUCUGCGCCCCCGUGUGCUUGUUUUCAUGUCUUGUUUUCAAUUUCUUUCCAGAGGCUCAUUUUGAAAAUAUUAUGGAUUUCCACUCCAUUAAAUCUGAUAAAGUUAAAUGAUAAAAAAUUUUCUUUUUGGUAUAAGUAAAACAUUUAAACUUAACCUCCUUUUAAGUCAUUCAGUAUCUUCUCAAAUACUUCAGUGUCUCAGAAAAAUGACUGAAAACGUGCAUCACGGUGUCCAUACGGGUGCACGCUUUUCCUUUGGUCUCAGGUCCCAGUAUGGCCUGGCCGGCACUGGUCAGGGCUGGGUGUCGGGGCCCCAGGGUGGGGAGUGUCCGGUGGACCCCCCCUGCAGUGAAAAGUCACCACCAUCGUAGCGAUGGUGGUGAUAAUGUUGUCUGCUAAGGAUGGCGGAUGUUUUCUCAGCGCUCCGUAAGGAAUCGUGAUGGACAGUCCUAAGGACGCUUUGCUCCUGUAUUUAUCUGACCAGGACGGAGUGGGCCGCGUGCUCCAGGCUGACCGCGCACGGCUGUGGCCUCCCCUGCAGACCUUCACCCUCCCUCCCAGGUGCUCAGGACUCUGUCGUCAGAGCAGGUCUGGGGUGGGGACGUGGGGGCUCUUGACUCACCCUGGGUCCCAGGCCCUGAGCAGCCGCAGGGAGGAGUGGCAGAGGGCUGGUCCCCGGGGUUCUGACCUCUCUAGACUUGGCCCUAAGCCCACCCAGCGGUGGGGGAGGUGGGGCAUCUUUGACGGCAAGGCACAGGGUCCUUCCUCUGGGCCGUGGGGACCCCCGGGCAGCCCCUAAGCCUCUCCCUUAGGCUUGUGGCCUCUGCCCAGGUGCACAGUGCAGAGGCCUUGCCAGGGAAGCUGCUGUGGGGUCACUUGAGGUCAGGUCUGCCCACCGGGCUGCGAACUCUGGGCCACAUCCUGGGUGAGACUGUGUCUGAGGCUUCCCUAACCUGGUCCUGAGAUCGGUCCAAAUGCAGCAGAAGGCGGUGAAUGGGGUCCCACUGCCUGGCUGACACUCGCAGGGCGCCCGGGACAAAGGCCACACCCCUGUUCUAAGGCCUGCAGGUGCUGCCCUGAGUCUCCUGUCUGCUGAUAGUCCUGGAGUCCCCAGGUCGCCCAGGCCAAGCCUCACAGGGGAUUGCCGGCCAAGGAAACGCUUCUGUCCAGCCUCGCUUAUCUGAUCUCAGCAGCGGGUCCCACGAUAACAAGUCGCUUCCCCUGUCAAACAGGCAGCCUUUCCCUCAAGGUCGUUUGAAGUGCAUGGUGUCCUCCUGCGUUCCCUCCGGGGCUGGCCCCCAGGACCGCAGCCUGAAGAGUGACCGGCCUCUAGCACAUCAGGGAGGAGAG